rnacentral:ncRNA from 1 species
AAAAAGUUUUAUUCUAGCUUAGGGGAUUAAUUUAUGAAUUGAUUAUAUGUAAAUUUUAGUUUAAAAAGUUUUAAAUAGAUUUUUUAUUAAUGGUUACAGUAAUAAAUAUUAAAUAUUAAUUAAAAUUAGAUUUAGAAAUUCAGUUUAGCAUUAACUAAAUUUGUGCCAGCAGUUGCGGUUAUACAUAUAAUGCAAUUAAUUUUUUGUUAGUUUGUAAUUAAUUGAUUAAAUUAAUUUAAAUUUUGACUUAUUAGGUGAAAUUUUAAGUUAGAAUUAAGUUUUAUUUUAGAUUUUGAGGUUAUAAAAUUUAGAGUUAAACUAGGAUUAGAUACCCUAUUAUUAUAAAAGUAAAUUUUUAAGCUAAAUUAUUAUGAGUUAUGUUCUUUAAAAUUAAAGAAUUUGGCGGUAUUUUAGUCUAUUCAGAGGAACCUGUUCUAUAAUCGAUAAUCCACGAUUUAUUUUACUUGAUUUUUUAGUUUAUAUACCGUCGUAGUUUGAAUAUUUUUAAAGAAUUAUAAUAUUCAAGAUUUUUAAUUUAAAAUUAAAUCAGAUCAAGGUGUAGCUUAUAAUUAAGUAGAAAUGGGUUACAAUAAAUUUAUUUAUAUGGUUUAUAUAUUUUAAAAGUAUUAUUAAAGUGGAUUUGAAAGUAAUAAAAUUUAAUUUAAUUUUAUGAUUUUAGCUCUAAAAUAUGCACAUAUCGCCCGUCACUCUCAUAUAAAAUGAGAUAAGUCGUAACAUAGUAGGUGUACUGGAAAGUGUACCUAGUGGGCA